rnacentral:misc_RNA from 1 species
AGCAGCCGCGGUAAUUCCAGCUCCAAUAGCGUAUAUUAAAGUUGUUGCAGUUAAAAAGCUCGUAGUUGAAUUUCGAGAUCAAAUUGUUGGUCGUGCCUUGGUACGCACUGGCAUUAUUGGUUUCUCCCUUCUGACGAACCAUGAUGUCAUUAAUUUGGUGUCUUGGGGAAUCAGGACUGUUACUUUGAAAAAAUUUAGAGUGUUUAAAGCAGGCUCACGCUUGAAUACAUUAGCAUGGAAUAAUGAAAUAGGACGUUUGAUUCUAUUUUGUUGGUUUCUAGGAUCGACGUAAUGAUUAAUAGGGAUAGUUGGGGGCAUUAGUAUUCAAUUGUCAGAGGUGAAAUUCUUGGAUUUAUUGAAGACUAACUACUGCGAAAGCAUUUGCCAAGGAUGUUUUCAUUAAUCAAGAACGAAAGUUAGGGGAUCGAAGACGAUCAGAUACCGUCGUAGUCUUAACCAUAAACUAUGCCGACUAGGGAUCGGAUGAUGUUAAUUUUUUAAUGACUCAUUCGGCGCCUUA